GAAGCCGCAAUGAUGUCCCCGGGGACCUUACUUAUAGGAAACCUCGCCGCGGGAGGAUUUAUGAAGCGUCUGUAAAAUAUGUGUGUAGGAACUCGGGACGUUUUGAUCGCUACAAGGAGAAAAAAUGGACAGUUUCUUAUCUUACUCCGGGACCUUGGGAGUUGAAACCUGAAGAGCUCAUUACCCAAGAAAGCAAGCCAUCCAAGCCAACUGGUGCAGAGGCUCGCCCAGGGUUGUGCUGUGGCCUUCGCUAAGCUCCGCCCCUCGACCUGCUAUCGGGAUUCUCUUUCUGGGAAUCAAACUCAGGACUUCAAGCAUGUUGGGCAAGUGCUCUAUCAGCUGACGUAGAUCUCCAGACACUUCCGGCUCCUGUUCAUUCUGUGAAGACAAAUAUAUCACUUCCAUGAGGUUUAGACUGGGCAAGUGAACUACAGAGUGCGUACUGCCCACCAGGCUCGCCCACCACGUUUCAUCCCACCUGGCACAGGGGCUACUGUGGAAUCCAAAAGAAAUGGAGGCCACGGCAUCACGUGCUUAGCUGAUGCUGGUGUGGCUGCCUGUGGGAAACCGAGCCUGGGCUGUGCCUGGUGAUACCAUCUGGUUUGUCUGUUCUGCACGUGGGAGCCCUGCUGUCCCUCUAGAUGAAUGAUGCAGGCCGAGAGUCUCAGGUCACCUAACCACAGAGCUCUUCUCCAGCGACUUGGCUCAUGAUCUUAAUCACAAGAUCCGGGAGCCAGGAUGCAGAUCCAGGAUGCACCGUAACACCCAUCUGAGAGGUGGGGAGAGGACCCAGGGCCCCCAGAAUCCCACUUGAGACCCUACUAUCAUCACAGGACGGGCAGCAGGUGGCGCCACGGCCCUGGUUUAACAAGGACAGUGGGCCGGUGGAAAAGGAGGGGGGAAAUCCAGUAAGAGAAGCUAGUGGAAAACAAGGACUUAAAUGAACAAUUUGUUCCAAAACAUUUGCCUUGUAACGGGGUCAUCUAUAAACUCUGGGGUUUCCUGUUUGCAAUGGAGCAGGCCGGCCGGCGGGUGGCCUCCGUAUUCCCUGCAGCCAGGGAGACACUUUUGAAGGCCAGCUCCAGAGCUCACUCCUGGGCCAGACUGACUCUAAAAUUUCCCAGCUUUUGUGCCAUUAAGUGAGAUCCGGUGGCGGAGGUCGGCGGCGGCGACAGUAGCAGCAGCAGCGGCUGCGGCGGCGUUCCGGACUGCGAUCUGCUCUCCAGACGUUAGGUUCCAGACACCGGGAGGAGGGCUGAACUCGCAGUCAUUUCCAGAGGAGAGGCAGACUCUGAUCUUUGCAUACCCGCUGCCGCGGGCCUCGUGCCAAGGCAAUAAAAUGGGUGAAAACAAUAAAAUAAAAGAGGUGAAGGUGGCCGGUUGAGGGAGCUGCUGCGGUCACUGUGGCCGCGGAGGGAGAUGCUUGGUCUUGAGCCCAGGCCUGGUUAUUUGGGGCACAGAGGUGGCAUGACAUUCCGCUAUUGAGAUCACUUCAUCAUGGGCUCCGGGGC